rnacentral:misc_RNA from 1 species
UGCAAAUGCGUGACAUUUGG